GAUGAACGCUGGCGGCGUGCCUAAUACAUGCAAGUCGAGCGAACAGACGAGGAGCUUGCUCCUCUGACGUUAGCGGCGGAGGGGUGAGUAACAUGUGGAUAACCUACUUAUAAGACUGGGAUAACUUCGGGAAACCGGAGCUAAUACCGGAUAAUAUACUGAUCCGCAUGGUUCAUUAGUGAAAGACGGCUUUGCUGUCACUUAUAGAUGGAUCUGCGCCGCAUUAGCUAGUUGGUAAGGUAACGGCUUACCAAGGCAACGAUGCGUAGCCGACCUGAGAGGGUGAUCGGCCACACUGGAGCUGAGACACGGACCAGACUCCUACGGGAGGCGACAGUAGGGAAUCUUCGGCAGUGGGCGGGAGCCUGGCGGAGCGGCGCCGCGUGUGUGAUGGAGGUCUUCGGAUCGUGAAACUCUGUUAUUAGGGGAAAACAGAUGUGUAAGUAGCUAUGCCCGUCUUGACGGUACCUGGUCAGAAAGCCACGGCUAACUACGUG
rnacentral:rRNA from 1 species